AUUGAACGCUGGCGGCAGGCUUAACACAUGCAAGUCGAGCGGAGCGAGGGUGCUUGCACCUUAGCUUAGCGGCGGACGGGUGAGUAAUGCUUAGGAAUCUGCCUAUUAGUGGGGGACAACAUUCCGAAAGGAAUGCUAAUACCGCAUACGCCCUACGGGGGAAAGCAGGGGAUCUUCGGACCUUGCGCUAAUAGAUGAGCCUAAGUCGGAUUAGCUAGUUGGUGGGGUAAAGGCCUACCAAGGCGACGAUCUGUAGCGGGUCUGAGAGGAUGAGCCGCCACACUGGGACUGAGACACGGCCCAGACUCCUACGGGAGGCAGCAGUGGGGAAUAUUGGACAAUGGGCGGAAGCCUGAUCCAGCCAUGCCGCGUGUGUGAAAAAGGCCUUUUGGUUGUAAAGCACUUUAAGCGAGGAGGAGGCUACUUAGAUUAAUACUCUGGGAUAGUGGACGUUGCUCGCAGAAUAAGCACCGGCUAACUCUGUGCCAGCCGCCGCAGUAAAAC
rnacentral:rRNA from 1 species